rnacentral:rRNA from 1 species
GACGAACGCUGGCGGCGUGCUUAACACAUGCAAGUCGAACGGUAAGGCCUUCGGGUACACGAGUGGCGAACGGGUGAGUAACACGUGGGUGAUCUGCCCCCUACUCUGGGAUAAGCCUGGGAAACUGGGUCUAAUACUGGAUAUGACCUCCUUCUGCAUGGUUGGUGGUGGAAAGUUUUUCGGUAGGGGAUGAGCCCGCGGCCUAUCAGCUUGUUGGUGGGGUAAUGGCCUACCAAGGCGACGACGGGUAGCCGGCCUGAGAGGGCGACCGGCCACACUGGGACUGAGACACGGCCCAGACUCCUACGGGAGGCAGCAGUGGGGAAUAUUGCACAAUGGGCGCAAGCCUGAUGCAGCGACGCCGCGUGGGGGAUGACGGCCUUCGGGUUGUAAACCUCUUUCAGCCGGGACGGAGCGAGAGUGACGGUACCGGUAGAAGAAGCACCGGCCAACUACGUGCCAGCCGCCGCAGUAACAC